AACCUGAGUGGCGAACCCCGUAUUCCUUUAUCUGUAUCAGUUUAUGUACGGUUUGAAGUUCGUCAUCGAGCAAAGAAAAUAUGGAAGCUAUCGUUUUUGCGGUCCUUGAAGGUAAUCUGGAUGUAAGCAAUCGCACUUCAUCAAAGUCCCAGUGUUGUCUCCACUGGAGAAUUGUGAUGACCUUAUUAAAAUCUGACCAACUGAUUAACAAUAAGCU